GUAGAGAUGAUGCUGCGGAUGGGAUGGGAAGAUGCGUGUGUGCUAGCUGCCAUUGCAGGGACUUUUUAUUUUUCGGAUAGUUCAGCGUCUUAUUACGAAUCUGAUAGUGCUAUCUGCCACACAUACACCAUGUUACGAAUCUAUUUACAUGCGACUCAGAGAAAGAAUUGCUUUGCAGGCUGCCAACAUCACGAAUUUCAUACUUAUGGAGUGGAGCCACCAAACUAUUUAUGAGGAAAUAUGUUGAAGCACCGAAUAUAUUCCAUUUGCAGUGGACAAACAGAACAACACAACACAUAAGCAGAGGAAAGACAUGGUUGCUCUUGCUUCAUCUAAAUAGGCCGUCUGGAAUGCCAUGAGACCAGGUUGUACUAUCAUUUUGAAUUUGUUUACUAACACCACAACUACCACAUCCUCGCUAAACGACAGAGGUUGCUAGCAACUGCACGUG
rnacentral:rRNA from 1 species